UACAGUGAAAUGGGAUGGAGUCACAGAAUAUUGUGGUACGAUACAAUAAGUCAUUCCAAGUAGAAUAAUCCCAACAUGACGUUUGCUAUGGAUUUCACAUAAAAUACAUUGUCUUUUUAGAUACGGAAUGGCUUCGCGUAUUUACUGUACACAGUUCUGGCAUGAGAACAAAUUGCUGGCUAGACACCCGUCUUGCAAUGUGUAACUUCGACAUGAAUUAAACCAAGCAAUAACCUGCGUUAUUGUUAAUUCAUUUCAUAGCUAUAGGCUGGAGAAUUUAACCAAUUUUUCAGUCGCAGCAUAAGAUAGCUAUAGUUUUGGAGCGUCUCUACUUCUGUGACGCACCGGCUUUCUUACACAAUGAUCCAUAAGAUCGUGCACGUUCGACCACUAAAAAUCCUAAUUCUCUUCUACCCUUUACUUCUUUUGUAUUUUUUGUGUCCAAUCAAAAGGUUUCCACCACUCAGCGAACUGUAAAACCUUCUUCUUUUGAGUUUGGAAAUUCUCUUUCCUUGGUUUCUUCCAAAUAAAAGGUUCUAAUUCCAACAUACCACCGACGAUUUCCU
rnacentral:lncRNA from 1 species